AGUUUGAUCCUGGCUCAGGACGAACGCUGGCGGCGUGCUUAACACAUGCAAGUCGAACGGGGUUUAGUCGAAAGAUUACUUUUAACUAAACCUAGUGGCGGACGGGUGAGUAACGCGUGGAUAACCUGCCCACUAGACUGGGAUAACGCCGGGAAACCGGUGCUAAUACCGGAUACGUUCACCGGAUUGCAUAAUCUGGUGAAGAAAGGUGCAAACCGCUAAUGGAUGGGUCCGCGUCCCAUUAGCUAGUUGGUAGGGUAACGGCCUACCAAGGCCACGAUGGGUAGCCGGCCUGAGAGGGCGACCGGCCACACUGGAACUGAGACACGGUCCAGACUCCUACGGGAGGCAGCAGUGGGGAAUCUUCCGCAAUGGGCGCAAGCCUGACGGAGCAACGCCGCGUGAGUGACGAAGGUCUUCGGAUUGUAAAACUCUGUCCAUAGGGAAGAACUAACUGACGGUACCUUUGGAGGAAGCCCCGGCUAACUACGUGCCAGCAGCCGCGGUAACACGUAGGGGGCGAGCGUUGUCCGGAAUUACUGGGCGUAAAGGGCGUGUAGGCGGCCAAGUAAGUCAGUCGUGAAACCCAGCGGCUUAACCGCUGGCUUGCGAUAGAAACUGCCUGGCUUGAGUGCAGUAGAGGGGAGUGGAAUUCCCAGUGUAGCGGUGAAAUGCGUAGAUAUUGGGAGGAACACCAGUGGCGAAAGCGGCUCCCUGGCCUGCAACUGACGCUGAGGCGCGAAAGCGUGGGUAGCAAACAGGAUUAGAUACCCUGGUAGUCCACGCCGUAAACGAUGGGUGCUAGGUGUUGGGGGUAUCGACCCCCCCAGUGCCGCAGUUAACGCAUUAAGCACCCCGCC
rnacentral:rRNA from 1 species